CCUACGGGAGGCAGCAGUGGGGAAUAUUGCACAAUGGGGGAAACCCUGAUGCAGCGACGCCGCGUGAGUGAAGAAGUAAUUCGUUACGUAAAGCUCUAUCAGCAGGGAAGAAAAUGACGGUAACUGAGUAAGAAGCCCCGGCUAACUACGUGCCAGCAGCCGCGGUAAUACGUAGGGUGCAAGCGUUCUCCGGAUUUACUGGGUGUAAAGGGAGCGUAGACGGUGGGCCAAGUCUGGAGUGAAAUGCCGCGGCUUAACUGCGGAACUGCUUUGGAUACUGGCAAACUAGAGUGCGGGAGGGGGAAGCGGAAUUCCUAGUGUAGCGGUGAAAUGCGUAGAGAUCAGGAGGAAUACCGGUGGCGAAGGCGGCUUACUGGACCGUAACUGACGUUGAGGCUCGAAAGCGUGGGGAGCAAACAGGAUUAGAUACCCCUGUAGUC
rnacentral:rRNA from 1 species